UAGCAUUUGAUCAUGUCCCGCCGCCGUCGCCGCUGGUCAUGGAAAUGCCUGUGGGAAGGAGGGGGAAUGCUAGUGCUGCCCUCAGUAUUCUGUUGGAAGUCUCUGAUGCUUCAUCCCAGCAAGCAGAGCAGUCGUGACCCUGGACUUGGGAACCACUCAUCAAACAAUUAAAGACUUGAUCAUCUACAAUCAAUAAAGAAAUGCUUCUCAUGUUUAGUUCCCCCUGGUGAUGCAGCACAUAAAUAGUGUCUCAGGAAAACCAAGGAUUGACAGGAAAUGGAUGUACCCUUUCUUGAAAUUAUACACAGACAUAGUCUGUGACAGCUACUAUAUGUCUAUAGUAAACAUAUAUAAGAUGUAGUUGCAUAAUAUUAUACUACUGUGAAGUAUUAUAUCCUUUUAAAAAAAUACUCUGAAAAUAUAUUUUCUUGGUAUUUUUCAUGGUAAUUAUUGUUUGGAAAUAAGAACUUCAAAACAAAA